UGAUUAUAAAGUUACUUUUGCAUCAUUAUCAUAACUACAAAUGUUCUCUAAACGAGGCAGUCAUUUCAGGAUUCCCAGCACUCAGAACUACAUCUUGAUUUAAGUUUUGUGGUGGACUAUAUGGAUGAAUCAUUUCUGAGCUGAAACUGAUCUGACUGGUAGCUGGACGAAAAACUAACUAGAAGACUCUGAAAGGAAGUUGGCUGGGAAACUUAUAAAUGGUGAUCACAUAACCUUAGGACAAUGCAGCAGUCAUAAAUAUAUGCCAAUUGGAAAGUGUCCAAUUUUGAUCACGUGACCACCAGAUGAUCAAGUGACCACAGGGAUAUCAAGACUGGCGGUCAUAAGAAGAAAGUCCUUUGUCAGAACAGGAAAUGGUCAGACUGAAUCUGAAAUUGAUACAAAGCUUUUCUUUACACUGUAUUUUCAAAAGGAAAACAACAGAAUUUAACAAUGGAACUUAACUGGGAUAAGUAGAUGAUAGCAAGCUCUAAAAUUUUCUUCUUUUCAGUCCCCAAAAUAAAUUCGGUUCAAAGUUCCAUCUAUCAUAUGGUAAUCCAACUAUUACGGAAACUAUAGUUAAAGUGUGUCAUCUAAAAAUUGAAAACUUGCCCAAUCAAGAUAUUAUAAAAUGCGUUAAUCAGCAUCCAAUUGUGUUUUAAUUCUUGAUGGUUUGACAGCUCAGAAAUAACUUUUAAGGCAAAAUCCAGGCUUCUUGAUGUGCAUAUUGUAUGUACUAACUAAUGACUUUUUUGUGAAAAUCUUGUUUUGAGCUAAUUCAUCUUAAUGCGAUAAAUAUGUAUUCAGGACAUGUCAAUGUAAAAUUUUAAGCAUAAAUCACAAAAAACAAUUUGCUGCUUGUAAUCUGGAACUUUCUUUUCUGAUUGUUAAAAUUUAAACCAUCUUAUCUCGUAAAAAUAUGUAACGUAUUUUCCAUCAGUUAUCAGGCAUAAAUAUUCUAUAGCUUGUCUAAAUGUUAAUAUACACCAGGAUGAGAAUUUUUAAGAUCAUUCUGACACAUUGAAAUGUAUUUGAUUAAGCCUUUUGUAGACUACCUGUGACUAGAAUAGUAAUCAGCAUUUUAGGACUAAUCCACAUAAUGAAAAGUGAACCUUCUAGCCUUUUUAAAAUUAUAUAAAGUCUUUUUCUGCAGCUUGUUCCAAUUGUGAGUGCUUCACAAAAUAGUCAAGUAUUAUAUAUCUUUAAAAUUAAGCAAUAAUUAAAACAUAAGAAUCCUGUUGGUUCAUGGUGAAAUCUUUUUCAAUAAGUUGUCUCACAAUGAGGCAAUUAGAGUAUUUCACCUGUGUGGCCCUAUGGUUAAAGCAAUGUCCAUCUUAAGCAGCAAGUUUUUUGAAAGAGUAGCUAUAAAUGAAUUAUUUACUAUGUUAUCUUCCUUGCUUCAGGGAUGGGUGAUGUUUGUGGGAAUUUCUGACUUACG